ACUACGGGGGGCUGCAGUGGGGAAUAUUGCACAAUGGGCGCAAGCCUGAUGCAGCCAUGCCGCGUGUGUGAAGAAGGCCUUCGGGUUGUAAAGCACUUUCAGCGGGGAGGAAGGCGUUAAGGUUAAUAACCUUGUCGAUUGACGUUACCCGCAGAAGAAGCACCGGCUAACUCCGGCCAGCAGCCGCGGUAAUACGGAGGGUGCAAGCGUUAAUCGGAAUUACUGGGCGUAAAGCGCACGCAGGCGGUCUGUCAAGUCGGAUGUGAAAUCCCCGGGCUCAACCUGGGAACUGCAUUCGAAACUGGCAGGCUAGAGUCUUGUAGAGGGGGGUAGAAUUCCAGGUGUAGCGGUGAAAUGCGUAGAGAUCUGGAGGAAUACCGGUGGCGAAGGCGGCCCCCUGGACAAAGACUGACGCUCAGGUGCGAAAGCGUGGGGAGCAAACAGGAUUAGAUACCCUUGUAGUC
rnacentral:rRNA from 1 species